UUUUGAGAGUAGAUGUUGUAUAGGGUGAGAUUUUGGAGAGUACUUGAUGUAUUUACUUUUUGGAAAAGAUUGAAAAAACAAUGUAUGAUGGUUUAAAGAGUUUAAUGCAAGUGGUAUUUAAAUACUUUCAAUUCAUGGUUCAAUAGUUAAAUUUCUCUCUUUUGUAUACUUGUAUGCUUUUACUAGUAUCGCUUGCUCUUGAUGGUUUUAACACUGUUUGUGUUAUCGCGGUUUGAUUGUGUAUGAAAUCAAGUUGUUUCUCCUGGGGACUUGUUGUACACAAUCUCGUUGGUUAGCCUUGGGCGGACAGGGGAGACUCUGUCCGUUCGGCCUCACGCCGUUGCCCUCGAACCUGACCAAAUAGGUACCGUUUUCGGGCCGUGCGGUCGGGGCGUGACACAUAGAGUAUGUUUUAGGAGUUUUGUUGUAAUUUUGAGUUUCAAAUUGUAUUUGGAUUACACGCGAAGAGUUCAAUGUUUUGGUGAUGACAAUUGAACUUCGUUUUUCUUUACGAUGUAAUUUUUGAGUUUGUGUGAGUUUUGUCACGAAAUUGCCAAAGGGGGAGAUUGUUAAGUCUUGUGUGUUUGCAAGUUUCGUGAAGUGAGUCGGAGUCUUAAAGAAUCGGUGCGUGUCGUCGAAGAUUGAAGAAUUCAAGAUUUCGAAGAAGUUGGAAAAUA
rnacentral:lncRNA from 1 species